AAGAAAUUAAAUCAUUCAUUCGUCUUCCAGAAACGGUCUAAACGAACAGCAAUGGCAGCCCUGAAGCUUUUUGUCCUUGUCGCGUUGAUUGGAGCUGUGAUGUCCGAGGAAUGGCUCUCCAGUCGUCGCCGGCUGGCCCCUAAGGAACCUGCCGCAACCGAAGAUCCCAACUUCAAAGAGGUUAAGGUUGAACCAUGCGAUGUUGAAAAGAACAACUUCUGCGGCAGCCUGCCUACUGCACCCGUCCUCAAGCAGGGCGAAGGAUUCUACUACCCCGGCUAAUAACGACCAA